rnacentral:rRNA from 1 species
AACGAACGCUGGCGGCAUGCCUAACACAUGCAAGUCGAACGAGACCUUCGGGUCUAGUGGCGCACGGGUGCGUAACGCGUGGGAACCUGCCCUUAGGUUCGGAAUAACUCCCCGAAAGGGGCGCUAAUACCGGAUAAUGUCUUCGGACCAAAGAUUUAUCGACUUUGGAUGGGCCCGCGUUGGAUUAGCUAGUUGGUAGGGUAAAAGCCUACCAAGGCGACGAUCCAUAGCUGGUCUGAGAGGAUGAUCAGCCACACUGGGACUGAGACACGGCCCAGACUCCUACGGGAGGCAGCAGUGGCGAAUAUUGGACAAUGGGCGAAAGCCUGAUCCAGCAAUGCCGCGUAAGUGAUGAAGGCCUUAGGGUUGUAAAGCUCUUUUACCCGGGAUGAUAAUGACAGUACCGGGAGAAUAAGCGCCGGCUAACUCCGUG